CUAGAUUAUUACAUAAUCCAUCUUGAGAAUUUAGAAGAAUAAUAUCGCCCUCGUGCCUGGCUUAUAUAGAAAAAGGGACAGCAAGAAGACAGAUAAAGUGGAGCACAGAAAGAAGGAUGAAAUGAAAAUUAUUUGUCUAUUUUAGACAAGCAAUUUUCUCUAAUGUUCUGUUCUCUUGUUUGGUUGUUCUAGUGAGAGCUCAAGGACCUUUUAAGGUGGAACGAAUCUGGGGGUUGUUCUGGGGGAGGCAGUUAGCCUUGGGUACCUGGAAAUAUGGGUAGGAAAAGCUGGGAACAGAGCCCAGGAGGAACCAAGUGUCCAAUGCCAACACCUGGGCCCAGAGGCCCCACUGCACACCCCACCUGGCCCUGGAAGGGAGAGGACAGAUAAAAUUCGGAGAUUUCAUCAUGUCAGACGUGGAGUUGGGU
rnacentral:lncRNA from 1 species